rnacentral:rRNA from 1 species
UACGUAGGGGGCAAGCGUUGUCCGGAAUCAUUGGGCGUAAAGCGCGUGUAGGCGGCUCGGUAAGUCUGCUGUGAAAGUCCAGGACUCAACCCUGGGAUGCCGGUGGAUACUGUCGAGCUCGAGUCCGGAAGAGGCGAGUGGAAUUCCUGGUGUAGCGGUGAAAUGCGCAGAUAUCAGGAGGAACACCGAUGGCGAAGGCAGCUCGCUGGGACGUGACUGACGCUGAGACGCGAAAGCGUGGGGAGCAAACAGG